AUCUUAUAUUAUCUAGAUUUAUGGCAAAGGAAAAUAAUCCAUUGAAUACCAAAAGCCCAGGUAGGAUUAGAGAAGGAAACACAGCAAAGGCACUGCUAAGAGAUUAGGUCAUUGCACCCCAAAACCCCAACCAUAUGAAGCUUCUCCGUGCCGUCGCCGCCAAAACCUUCCGCGACAUCGGCGUGAUCCGCGGCUUCGCCACUGCCGGGAACUUAGAAUUAGAAUCGAAGAGAGUGGAGCCUAAUUUGGUUUCGUUCAAUGCGGGCUAUUCAGGAUUUGUGCCGGAAAAGUAGUCUGAAAGAGGCUGAGGCGAUGCUUGAGGAGAUGAGUCGGAAGGGUUUGGCUCCUGAUGAGAGGACUUACACGUCUCUCAUUAUCAUGUACUGUUGUCAGUUGCAGAGUUGUAAGGCUUAUAAGGCUUAUACUGUUCUGUUCGAACCUUGUCAAUUAUCGACACAAAAUCUCACAUCCUCUCCCGUAGAUCAAUCGAACUGCCAUCCAUUCCACAACUGAAUCGGAAUGUAAACAUCAAUCAUCACCACAACCAUAGGUGGGUUGCUCUGGCACCGGAAGCCGACCCCGUCGGCGUUUGAUUUGGCGGAGCAGACUCAGGCUGGUUGUCCUGUUUUUUACUUUCAACCUGAGAGACAGAGCUCAGCAAUUGCCACCGGAAGUCUUCAAGUGUCAGGUUUAUACUUCGCUUUGGUGCCAGAUCUGAUUUGUUUCAUGGAUGAUAGUUAAGAGGAAUUCAAGUCGGCUGACCGGAACCACAAGUUUGGUUUGGGAGGAGACCACGGCCAUAGUUCACCCUUCAGGAGCUGGAUCUUAAUAUUCAAGUUUGGUUUUCUUUCCUCCUCUCCCUUAGAUCGAUCGGACGUUUCUCUGGAUCAAAUCAACCCAAACACGAAACGGUAAAGAUCACAUAUAUGGUGACCAAUUAAUGAUUAUUCACUAUUGUCAUGUUUUUUACUUUCAGCCUGAGAGAUAGAGCUCAAGUUAUGCAAUUGCUGUGAUACAUUAUUGACGAACGGCUGGAAGAUGCUGAAAACAAAUGAGUCUUCAAUCUAUAAUUUAGGUUUCCAUUCAUUGCCGGUGAGGCCUUUUACUUGUGAAAUUGAAGACAUUGGUGCAUGAAGAUGAGGUUUAUACUCCGUUAAUCUUUGUCAAGGAGAUUCAGAUGUCAGUUCCUUUUGGGAUCGUGAAGUAUUAUUCGGAUUAGAGCAAUGUUAAGCUAGGAUUGGGGACUUCGCUUGAUGCACAUCCCGAGGGCAAACACUCAAGUCCGCGCUUCCCAAACAGGUUUCAGCUUUCCAUUGUCCCAUUGUUAUAUAAGUUACACAACCCCUGUCUCCAUCGUCUUCCUUCUUCUAUAUAACAAGUAGUAGCAGAUCAAGCGCUCAUAAGCAAACAUGAGAGCGGUGGAAUGUUACAAGAUCCUCCUAGUGGUUGUGGUAUCAAUUGUGCUAGUCUUCCCAAAUGUUUAAGGCAGGGGAGAAGAAGGGCAUUCCAUAGUUUGCAAGUUCGCUCACGUAUCAGCUAACAUUAAUUUCUCUAAUGAAAGUUUUACACUAGUGAUCAUUCAUGCAGUGGUAUUAACAAUUUAGUAAUAUUAAAUUAAGUUGCUGAAUUAUUGAGGGGUUAAUGGCAUACUAUUUUAGGUAUCUUUCUUUAUUAGUAUGUGUUGUUUUAGGUCCCUAUAGGAUUAACUUGUUAUUAUAAAAGUGUUUAAUAUUCAUAAGUUUACUCGAGAAACUUAGCUCAAAAUAACUAAUAGAUAGAUAGAUAUAAGUUCUUGUUAAUAAGCUAAUUUGAGAAACUUAUAAAAAUAGGCAUUCAAGAGCUUAUAUGUAGGUUAUAAGCGAUUUCGUACCCUUAACCAAACAGUUUGAUUAGAUGCUUAUGCUAUAAGUUAAGCUGAAAUAAGCUAUUCCAAGCGAUCCAAAUUCUAGCGGGCUACGUACCGUGACCUAAAUGCUUGGGUUAUUAGUGAUUUGUGUUUGGCACAGGCACAUUGAUGACCCCAAGGGCCAUAUGAUUUGGUUUCUAUAAUGUUGUUAUGGUAUGGAUCAGAUGAACAAUGGAGUUUUAUUGAUACAUAAUACUAUAUGCAUGGAUCAUAUGGCCCUUGGACAAUUGCAUGUUUAUUAUCCAUACUAAUGCAGUGACGUCCAAUUUCUCUUCUCUCCUUUUUAUUUUUCUGCAAUAGCACGUUUCUGUGCGUUAUGGUAGCAAGAUUGAAAUUUGAGGACCUGUCUAUAUACUAUUCCAUGGACUAUCAAAUAGCACAGUAUGGAGGGUGUGCUUUGUACACUGGUGGUGCAUCUGACCAUGAACCACAUCUUUGCCUCCACCUUGGUUUGACAGAUUAUAGGACUUUUGUGGGGACAAAUUUAAGUCCUUUGUGGGAAAGAUUCCUGAUUCCAUCAGAAGAUGAUUCCGUUAUUUGUCAGCAUACCUCCAGGGCACUAGGAAAUGGUGCAGUGGUGGAGACAAUUGACAAGAAGAUACUAGUAUUACAACGAAGUAAUAAUGUUGGUGAAUUUCCUGGAUAUUUUGUUUUCCUAGGAGGCCAUCCUGAGCCUCAAGAAGUUGGUAUAGCAUCCCAUCAACAUGUCAGGGAGUUAAUGGAGUCUAUUAACAUUAAGGUUUCACAGGAGAUGUUUGACAGCAUAGUUCGUGAAGUAGUUGAAGAAAUUGGAGUGCCAGCUUCUUCCCUUAGCAACCCUGCUUUCAUUGGUAUAUCUCGCAGGGAUUUGAAUGUGAGGCCAGCUGCAUUUUUCUUUAUCAAAUGCAAUCUUGAUUCAAAGGAAGUUCAGCAGUUUUAUUCUAGUGCACAAGAUGGCUAUGAAUCUACUCAGCUAUAUGCUUUUCCAAUGGAUGAAUUAGAAAAAAUGGCUUCUAGGAUGCCUGGAUGUCAUCGAGGUGGAUUUGCUCUUUAUAAAUUGAUGGUUGACACCAUGAAGAUCACUUGAUGGAAGUUUCUAGCACUAACAGUUGUUAAGCAUGACACAGCAAAUUCAAUUAAGAGCCUCCUUGGAGCCAUGGGCCAGAUAUCCAUGUGAGAGUGAGGUUUGCAAUCCUCUGGAAGGAAUCUGCAAUAUCAUUGCAGUCCUGCUUGUACGGCCACGGCCCUUCUUAAUGCAUAGUUGAAUUCAUGGUGAAAAAUUACGUAGGAAAAGCCCCAAUUUGACAAGGAUUUAGGGUUAGGAAUAAGAGAGAAGCAAUUGUGUUGUUUGUUUCAGUUCAGAAUCAGAUCAUGCUGAAGGCUGCUCCGUUCACUCUCCGCCACCUCCGGACACCGUGGCUUCAGGGGAACUCUUGAAUGGUCCCACCGUGAAAACCAGAAGAUUGAAAACCUGGAACAUCGCAAAUUCGGCACCUACGAAAAUGCUGAUCAAUCCGAGGAGGAAUUUCUGCUGAUCAAAUUCGGCCCAUUUUCCCAAUGUUGAUCCCUAAAGGUCUUCGGUGAAGAGAUAUUUUAAAUUUCAAUUUCAACUGAUUGAUUUCCCUUUCAAUUUUAAUGUUCUUUUACAUGUUGAUUUUUUAUUUGCUUUAUGUACCUUUCUAGUUGGAAUUGUGAACUGGUAAUCAAUGAUCAACCUUUUAAAGUCUAGACUUUGGGAUCUUGUAGGAUAUAUUAUAUAGUGUGUGGAGAUUGCAGGAAA